GACGAACGCUGGCGGCGUGCUUAACACAUGCAAGUCGAACGAAGAGCGAUGGAAGCUUGCUUCUAUCAAUCUUAGUGGCGAACGGGUGAGUAACGCGUAAUCAACCUGCCCUUCAGAGGGGGACAACAGUUGGAAACGACUGCUAAUACCGCAUACGAUCUAACCUCGGCAUCGAGGAUAGAUGAAAGGUGGCCUCUACAUGUAAGCUAUCACUGAAGGAGGGGAUUGCGUCUGAUUAGCUAGUUGGAGGGGUAACGGCCCACCAAGGCGAUGAUCAGUAGCCGGUCGUGGAGGAUGAACGGCCACAUUGGGACCGAGACACGGCCCAGACUCCUACGGGAGGCAGCAGUGGGGAAUCUUCCGCAAUGGACGAAAGUCUGACGGAGCAACGCCGCGUGAGGGAUGACGGCCUUCGGGUUGUAAAGCUCUGUUAAUCGGGACGAAAGGCCUUCUUGCGAAUAGUUAGAAGGAUUGACGGUACCGGAAUAGAAAGCCACGGCUAACUACGUG
rnacentral:rRNA from 1 species